rnacentral:rRNA from 1 species
CACGUAGGGUGCGAGCGUUGUCCGGAAUUAUUGGGCGUAAAGGGCUCGUAGGCGGUUUGUCGCGUCGGGAGUGAAAACCCAGGGCUUAACCCUGGGCUGGCUUUCGAUACGGGCAGACUAGAGGUAUGCAGGGGAGAACGGAAUUCCUGGUGUAGCGGUGAAAUGCGCAGAUAUCAGGAGGAACACCGGUGGCGAAGGCGGUUCUCUGGGCAUUACCUGACGCUGAGGAGCGAAAGUGUGGGGAGCGAACAGG